AGUAUCAUAGGCGACGGGGUGGAGAGUGACGGGCUCGUUAUUCUCAGUAGAAACGAAAUGAGCCGUAGCAGGAGGAGCAGGUUGACGACGAAGUUGAACAGUCUUACCCUGAGCCUUGGCCUCCUUACGCUUAGCCUCAUUGGCCUUAACACGGUCCAAGAAGUCUUGACGGCACUUAGAGUGCUUAACGUGCUCAAUACGAACAUUGACACGCUUCUCCAUGUAGCGGUUACCAACAACCUUGUAGAUCAAGACACCAACAGAAGAUUGAGUAACGUUGUAAACAACACCAGUCUUGCCAUGGUAGUACUUGUGAGGCAUACCCUUUUGGACAGCACCAUUAACCUUAAUGUCGACAAUGUCACCAACCUUAUAGGUCUUCAAAUAAGUGGACAAACGAAUUUGACCAUGCUCUCUGAAACCACGUUGAAAGGUGUAACGGGUGCGAGCUCUGAUACCGUAAGAAUGAGGCAUUGCUGUUCCUGGUUAAAGGCAAAGUACGCACGGAAAUUCCAUAUGGUUUGUGGUGAAACUUUGUGACUGUUUUUAGUUCAUUAGAGCACGUUGUGCAUACUUAACACCAAACUAUAGUGAAUAGGCAUAAAAAAAAGGUAGAAAAAAGAAAAAUAUUUAAAUGCAGGAAUGAAUUAUCCAAUUUCAUGUAAGCAAGUAGGAAUUAAUGUGCAUUCAACGAUAGAGUAUGAUACUAUGUUUUUGGGAU